AUUGGCACCACUGGAUAAGGGUUUCCUCACCAGCAUGCAGCGAAUCCCAGGCAGUGGGGUACAGAGACAUGCUCCCACCUCCCUGAGCAGAUACAUGCAGUGGGGAAGCUAUUCGCUGUUUAAAUGAAGAUGUGCUCUCAAAAUGGAAGAAGGAGGCAGUGUGAUGUUGCACUCCAUAUGUUUUAUGGAAAUAUGCUUAUGAGUGUGAAUAUGAUAUAACUGGAAUAUGCUUUAUGCAAAAGGUCUCUUGUAAGGUAUCAUAACAAAGGUUAUAACCUACUGAAUAUAUUCUUCCUAUUUGUAUGCAUGUAUCAUUCUUGUAUCUGAAGCUAGAAAUAGGAGUAUAACUCUGGAGGUCCUUUUGUAAUCAUGCAAAGUGUGGGCCAUUAAUGGUGGUUUAGAAUCUUGAUGGCUCCCACUGACUAGGACAAUUGGUUGUAAAUGGUUUAUUUACCUGCACGCCUUCCUGGGAUGGUGUGGAAUGGAGGGAG